GUUCUUGCUGUAUACACCUAGGUUGUAGUGCAGAGGUGCAAUCACAGUUCACUGAAAGUUUGACCUUCUUGGCUCAAAAGAUCCUCCCCCGUCGGCCUCCUGAGUGGCUGGGAUUACAGACAUGUUCCACCACACCAGGCUAAUUUUUAAAAUAUUUUUGUACAGACAGAAUCUUGCUGUGAUGCCCAGACUGGUCUCAAAUUCCUGGAUUCAAGUGAUCCUUCCACCUUGGCCUCCCAAAGUGCUGAGAUUGUAGGCAUGAGCCACUGCACCUGGCCUGUAUUGGGGAUUUUCCUCCCACAGUAUCAAGAACUGUUCAGAUGGUGUACCAUGAAACAUCCUCCUAAAACUCCCAUCACUAGGAAGCUCCAGCUCUGCUCAGUAAGGUCAUCUUUCUUCCUAGAUGGAGUCAAGAGUGAUGCCUUGUGUGUAGAAUGCCCAUCAUCUCUCAAGAGCUGAGAUUCUGUGAAGGUGAAGAAGAGGGAAGCCAGCAAAAUCUAACUCCUGGUUAUCCAUUAGAGAACACUCUAUGCACAGAAAGGCAACCAAAGGGAUAUGAGAUGGAAAAUAUUUUACAUUAUCCUCUGGCUCUGUAUACAUUCCUAAACAUCUAAUAGCAAAAUUUGUGUUGUUUAUGUUGGCAUGGCAUUUCAGGAGUACUGAGCAUAAUAAGGUUACAGGAUGACAACCCAUAUGUUCAACUGCCUUCUUGCUUACAGGCACCUCCAUUUCAAUAUCCAACACCGAACUCAGGAUCUUUCUUAGGUCUUCAAACAUGCCAUACUUCUACUUGCCUCAGCGUGUUUGCACAUUAUGUUUUACCUCCAUGUUCCUUCAGAUGCUCCUUGGGAAGAGCAUCUGAAGCUCUUCCCAAGGAGCUUCAGAUGCUUGUAGUCACUUUGUCUGACCACACAUAUAUAUGCCUCAUCUCAUGAUGAACCAAAUAGUUCUCUAUCACGUUCCACAUCUUCUGCCUCAUUUAGCCAUUCCAAAAGCAGGAAAUACUGUUCAGGAAUGCAGCAGGGUAUAAAUAUGCCUAUGACUAUAACAUAAUCAAACUGCAUAGAUUACUGUCAGAUCACUGUAUUAUUAUGGUCAACUUUUUUUUCUAUGAAAUUCAGUCUUUCUAGUAUUAAAAAUUUCACAAAAGAAUGAACUGCUUAAUUUCCUCUGUAGGCUAGGGACAAGAGAAAGUAAUCAUGAGCCCUCAGCUUACUAGGAAUAUUAUUAUUACUUUUGAGUCCAGCAAAAAUCCUGUCCAUUCAUAUAUACUUCGUUGUGAUUAAUUAUACUGCUGGAGAUUGUUUACUUAGGUUCAAGUCGUUUUUAAAAAAUGGUAUUUCAGCUAUCUGUGUAAUGAGGGAG
rnacentral:lncRNA from 1 species